rnacentral:lncRNA from 1 species
GGUUGACCCUCCGACAUACAGAUGUGGGACUAAAAUUACUUUCAAGAUUUUAGAUAAAUUCUAAAGGUUUUAACAAGUAGCGGAUGUUAUGAAACAGAAGGAAGAAAUUCCUCGUAUGAAAGAGAUUCUUGCUUUGAAAAGGAAAAAAAUAGCUCGGAAAAGAGAGAAGUUCCACCAGUAUGUAUUGAUUGGAUCUUGAAUAUUUGUUAUUAUUGGUAGUGCUUUAUUGCUUAGAGGAAUUGGGGGAA